UUAUUUUCAGGAAGCUUUCGGGUGGAAUGAACUUAACUUAGCGGCGGACGGGUGAGUAACGCGUGGACAACCUACCCUGUACAGGGGGAUAACAAUGGGAAACCAUUGCUAAUACCCCAUAACACCUUUUAGGGGCAUCCCUUUAAGGUCAAAGAAUUUCGGUACAGGAUGGGUCCGCGUCUGAUUAGCUAGUUGGUGAGGUAAUGGCUCACCAAGGCGACGAUCAGUAGCCGGCCUGAGAGGGUGAACGGCCACACUGGAACUGAGACACGGUCCAGACUCCUACGGGAGGCAGCAGUGGGGAAUUCUACAUAGGGGGCGAAAGCCUGAUGCAGCAACGCCGCGUGAGCGAUGAAGGCUUUCGGGUCGUAAAGCUCUGUCCUAAGGGAAGAUAAUGACGGUACCUUAGGAGGAAGCCCCGGCUAACUACGUGCCAGCAGCCGCGGUAAUACGUAGGGGGCAAGCGUUAUCCGGAAUCAUUGGGCGUAAAGGGUGCGUAGGCGGCCCUAUAGGUCAGAGGUCAAAGGCUACGGCUCAACCGUAGUAAGCCUUUGAAACUGUAGGGCUUGAGUGCAGGAGAGGAGAGUGGAAUUCCUAGUGUAGCGGUGAAAUGCGUAGAUAUUAGGAGGAACACCAGUGGCGAAGGCGACUCUCUGGACUGCAACUGACGCUGAGGCACGAAAGCGUGGGGAGCGAACAGGAUUAGAUACCCUGGUAGUCCACGCCGUAAAUGAUGAGUGCUAGGUGUCGGGGGUCGAACCUCGGUGCCGCAGCUAACGCAUUAAGCACUCCGCCUGGGGAGUACGUUCGCAAGAAUGAAACUCAAAGGAAUUGGCGGGGACCCGCACAAGCAGCGGAGCAUGUGGUUUAAUUCGAAGCAACGCGAAGAACCUUACCUGGACUUGACAUCCCUCGGACCGCUUUUUAACCAAAGCCUUCCCUUCGGGGACUGAGGUGACAGGUGGUGCAUGGUUGUCGUCAGCUCG
rnacentral:rRNA from 1 species